rnacentral:tmRNA from 1 species
GGGGAUGUACUGGUUUCGACGGGGGUAGGUGUGGCACAAUAAGCGGGCCGGGAUUCCAUCAACCCCGAUAAACGGUGGAAAACUGCUAUAAACGCAGACGAUUCUUACGCUCUAGCAGCUUAAUGCUAGCGCUCCUCCUCGCUACUCCUGCGGGUGGGGAAUGAGCGACACUAGCGGGAUACUCAUAGGCCAAUUCUCGGAGGCCUUUUGGGGAAACUCAUCGAGAUAGCAACUAAGUAGCCUUGUCGUUAGGCGACAAAGAAGCGAAAUCCAAAUCAACGACUACGCUCGUAGAAAGUUGUGUUUCAUUGCUUUCGGACAGGGGUUCGACUCCCCUCAUCUCCACCA